rnacentral:rRNA from 1 species
AUUGAACGCUGGCGGCAUGCCUUACACAUGCAAGUCGAACGGCAGCAUGAUCUAGCUUGCUAGAUUGAUGGCGAGUGGCGAACGGGUGAGUAAUACAUCGGAACGUGCCCUGUAGUGGGGGAUAACUAGUCGAAAGAUUAGCUAAUAUCGCAUACGACCUGAGGGUGAAAGUGGGGGACCGCAAGGCCUCAUGCUAUAGGAGCGGCCGAUGUCUGAUUAGCUAGUUGGUGAGGUAAAGGCUCACCAAGGCGACGAUCAGUAGCUGGUCUGAGAGGACGAUCAGCCACACUGGGACUGAGACACGGCCCAGACUCCUACGGGAGGCAGCAGUGGGGAAUUUUGGACAAAGGGCGAAAGCCUGAUCCAGCAAUGCCGCGUGUGUGAAGAAGGCCUUCGGGUUGUAAAGCACUUUUGUCCGGAAAGAAAUGGCUCUGGUUAAUACCUGGGGUCGAUGACGGUACCGGAAGAAUAAGGACCGGCUAACUACGUG